AGGUCUCUUUUUAUAGACGAAGAGCAUAACUAAUUGACAGCGACGUCUGUAACUACCUGGUAGUGGGCCGUUCAGAGCCACGCGGAGUUUGUUACGGAGAGUAGUGGCGUCAGGGGCCGUUUAGGGCCACGUGGAGUUUGUUACGGAGAGUGGAGUGGUGUCCGUUGUCGCGACUUGCUACAGAGUGGUGGAGCCCAGAGAGUGGAGUGGUGUCCGUUGUCGUGAC
rnacentral:lncRNA from 1 species